rnacentral:lncRNA from 1 species
GGCAACCCCAUUGCUCUCCCUGUUCUCUCUCUCUCUCUCUCUUUUACUCAUUCUCUCCUCUCUCUCUCUCUCUCUCUCUCUCUCUUUUACUCAUUAUUCAUUCUCUCCUCUCUCUCUCUCUCUCUCUCUCUCUUUUACUCAUUAUUCAUUCUCUCCUCUCUCUCUCUCUCUCUUACUCAUUCUCUCCUCUCUCUCUCUCUCUCUCUCUUUACUCAUUAUCUCCUCUCUCUCUCUCUCUCUCUCUCUCUCUUUUACUCAUUAUCUCCUCUCUCUCUCUCUCUCUCUUUUACUCAUUCUCUCCUCUCUCUCUCUCUUACUCAUUCUCUCCUCUCUCUCUCUCUCUCUCUCUCUCUCUUUUACUCAUUAUCAUUCUCUCCUCUCUCUCUCUCUCUCUCUUACUCAUUCUCUCCUCUCUCUCUCUCUCUCUCUCUCUUUUACUCAUUAUCUCCUCUCUCUCUCUCUCUCUCUCUCUCUUUUACUCAUUAUUCAUUCUCUCCUCUCUCUCUCUCUCUCUCUUACUCAUUCUCUCCUCUCUCUCUCUCUCUCUCUCUCUUUUACUCAUUAUCUCCUCUCUCUCUCUCUCUCUCUCUCUCUUUUACUCAUUAUCUCCUCCACAGCUCCACAGCUGAAUAACACAGAGACAAAGAGAACCACAAUGCGCCUCAAAAGCUGCCAAAGCAGGGAGAGGGAGGGAGAGCGAGAAAGGACACACUUCAAAAGCAACAGCAGAUUUCUCCCUGUCAACUGAGGCAUUCUUGAUGCAUGUUUCAGCUGCUCACCAGUAAACUCCAACCAGUUUGGUUUUCAGAGCUCUGCGGUUCAGACUUCAUAUAUAGCGGCGUUAAGGGUGUGUGUGUGUGUGUGUGUGAGUGAGAGAGAGUGUGUGUGUGUGUGUGUGUGUGAUGAGGUGAAAUGUGUAGUUAAGUAUGUGCACUAGUGAGUAAGGAUGUGUAUGUUUGUGUGAUGAUGUUAAGUGUGUGCGAGUAAGUAUGUGUUCUAAAAGAGUUUAAAUCGCUGCAUGAGAAGUGGGAUUUGUGUCAGUGAACAGCACUAUAAAUGUCUAUUGAAGUGCAGGUUAGAGACUGGAGUUCACAGG